rnacentral:rRNA from 1 species
UACAGAGGUCCCAAGCGUUACUGAGAAUCACUGGGUUUAAAGGGUGCGUAGGUGGUCCGUUAAGUCAGUUGUGAAAUCCCCGGGCUCAACCCGGGAAAUGCUUCUGAUACUGGCGGACUUGAGGCCAGUAGGGGUCACUAGAACUGACGGUGGAGCGGUGAAAUGCGUAGAUAUCGUCAGGAAUGCCGGUGGUGAAGACGGGUGACUGGGCUGGUUCUGACACUGAGGCACGAAAGCGUGGGGAGCGAACAGG